UAGGGAAUCUUCCGCAAUGGGCGAAAGCCUGACGGAGCAAUGCCGCGUGAGUGAUGAAGGUUUUCGGAUCGUAAAGCUCUGUUGUUAGGGAAGAACAAGUGCCGUUCAAAUAGGGCGGCACCUUGACGGUACCUAACCAGAAAGCCACGGCUAACUACGU
rnacentral:rRNA from 1 species